rnacentral:lncRNA from 1 species
UCAAAUGAAUUCUCUUAUCUAUUAAAUUUUUGUGUUAUUAUUUUUUCAUCUUUCCAUAAAAAAUUUGUAGCCGAGGUGCUAUAAUUUUGUAUCAGAGCACGAUUAUGGAAAUUACCAUGGGAGAUAAGUAGAGAAAUCCAUCUUUUGAAAACAGAGUGAAAAUAGUUGAAGGUCCGCUCAAGAAUUUCAUUGAAGAUCUGUGAAACGAAUGGACCAAACUAAAGAGAAACAAGAAAAUUAUAAUAUUAAGAUGGCUGAAGUUAUGAUUACCACGAGACGCAUUGAAGAUUCUGUUAAUGAUAGAUAGCCAGAGUAAGGUUGCCGGCAUUCAUGGAGGGAUGGUAGUAGAAGCAGGGCAAUCUUCAGUGGGAGGUAACAUCAUAAGUAAUACUCCACCUUUAUCCCCUCCUUUCAAUACUGGGAAUCGAUUUGUCCACACAACACUACUCCCAAAUCAUCCAGUUCAUAUUUCGAGCUGCAUCAUAGCUCCUACUAUCAAUCCUUCCGUUAUAUCCUUUUGCCCUAUUACACCCUCAUACCCAAUGGCCACCCAACCUUUUAUUCCUACUUGAUUGUAUCCGAUGUCUACUCACUCAUACUACCCUCAGGACAUCCCCGCAUCCCUAGCCCAAAAUUUCAUGAGUCACCCACCUGUUCUUCAUACCCUGUCUCAAUUGACCCCCUCUCCUGUAGCCCAUUUUUCCAACCAAUUACUCAUCCCUUAGCACAAACUUUUAGAUCCCUUUAGGAAUUUUCUAACUAAUAAUGUUGGUUAGGUUCAAACGAGUCAGGUAGGGGCUGAGAAAGCGGUGUCAUCAUCAAAAUUACCUAAAACGAAGUUAGCCUUUCCCGAAUUUGAUGAGUUGAACGCCAUGUUGG